rnacentral:rRNA from 1 species
ACCUACCUAUAAGACUGGGAUAACUUCGGGAAACCGGAGCUAAUACCGGAUAAUAUUUUGAACCGCAUGGUUCAAAAGUAAAAGACGGUCUUGCUGUCACUUAUAGAUGGAUCCGCGCUGCAUUAGCUAGUUGGUAAGGUAACGGCUUACCAAGGCAACGAUGCAUAGCCGACCUGAGAGGGUGAUCGGCCACACUGGAACUGAGACACGGUCCAG